AGCGAACGCUGGCGGCAGGCCUAACACAUGCAAGUCGAACGAACCUUUCGGGGUUAGUGGCGGAUGGGUGAGUAACACGUGGGAACGUGCCUUUAGGUUCGGAAUAACUCAGGGAAACUUGUGCUAAUACCGAAUGUGCCCUUCUGGGGAAAGAUUAAUCGCCUUUAGAGCGGCCCGCGUCUGAUUAGCUAGUUGGUUGAGGUAAUGGCUCACCAAGGCGACGAUCAGUAGCUGGUCUGAGAGGAUGAUCAGCCACAUUGGGACUGGGACACGGCCCAAACUCCUACGGGAGGCGGCAGUGGGGGAUCUUGCGAAAUGGGCGAAAGCAUGACGCAGCCAUGCCGCGUGAAUGAUGAAGGUCUUAGGAUUGUGAAAUUCUUUCACCGGGGACGAUAAUGACGGUACCCGGAGAAGAAGCCCCGGCUAACUUCGUG
rnacentral:rRNA from 1 species